rnacentral:rRNA from 1 species
GGUCUUGACAUCCACAGAACUUUCCAGAGAUGGAUUGGUGCCUUCGGGAACUGUGAGACAGGUGCUGCAUGGCUGUCGUCAGCUCGUGUUGUGAAAUGUUGGGUUAAGUCCCGCAACGAGCGCAACCCUUAUCCUUUGUUGCCAGCGAUUAGGUCGGGAACUCAAAGGAGACUGCCAGUGAUAAACUGGAGGAAGGUGGGGAUGACGUCAAGUCAUCAUGGCCCUUACGACCAGGGCUACACACGUGCUACAAUGGCGCAUACAAAGAGAAGCGACCUCGCGAGAGCAAGCGGACCUCAUAAAGUGCGUCGUAGUCCGGAUUGGAGUCUGCAACUCGACUCCAUGAAGUCGGAAUCGCUAGUAAUCGUGGAUCAGAAUGCCACGGUGAAUACGUUCCCGGGCCUUGUACACACCGCCCGUCACACCAUGGGAGUGGGUUGCAAAAGAAGUAGGUAGCUUAACCUUCGGGAGGGCGCUUACCACUUUGUGAUUCAUGACUGGGGUGAAGUCGUAACAAGGUAACCGUAGGGGAACCUGC